rnacentral:rRNA from 1 species
GACGAACGCUGGCGGCGUGCCUAAUACAUGCAAGUCGAACGCAUUUUCUUUCACCGUAGCUUGCUACACCGAAAGAAUAUGAGUGGCGAACGGGUGAGUAACACGUGGGUAACCUGCCCAUCAGCGGGGGAUAACACUUGGAAACAGGUGCUAAUACCGCAUAAUUCCAUUUACUGCAUGGUAGAUGGAUGAAAGGCGCUUUUGCGUCACUGAUGGAUGGACCCGCGGUGCAUUAGCUAGUUGGUGGGGUAACGGCCUACCAAGGCUGCGAUGCAUAGCCGACCUGAGAGGGUGAUCGGCCACACUGGGACUGAGACACGGCCCAGACUCCUACGGGAGGCAGCAGUAGGGAAUCUUCGGCAAUGGACGCAAGUCUGACCGAGCAACGCCGCGUGAGUGAAGAAGGUUUUCGGAUCGUAAAACUCUGUUGUUAGAAAAGAACAAGGAUGAGAGUGGAAAGUUCAUCCCUUGACGGUAUCUAACCAGAAAGCCACGGCUAACUACGUG